GUACGGGGGGUGCAAGCGUUAAUCGGAAUUACUGGGCGUAAAGCGCGCGUAGGCGGUUGGACAAGUUGGAUGUGAAAGCCCCGGGCUCAACCUGGGAAUGGCAUCCAAAACUGUCCGACUAGAGUUCGGUAGAGGGGAGUGGAAUUCCACAUGUAGCGAUGAAAUGCGUAGAUAUGUGGAGGAACACCAGUGGCGAAGGCGGCUCCCUGGAUCGAAACUGACGCUGAGGUGCGAAAGCGUGGGUAGCAAACAGGAUUAGAAACCCCAGUAGUCC
rnacentral:rRNA from 1 species